rnacentral:rRNA from 1 species
UACGUAGGGGGCAAGCGUUGUCCGGAUUUAUUGGGCGUAAAGAGCGUGUAGGCGGCUGGGUAGGUCCGUUGUGAAAACUCGAGGCUCAACCUCGAGACGCCGAUGGAAACCCUCCAGCUAGAGUCCGGAAGAGGAGAGUGGAAUUCCCAGUGUAGAGGUGAAAUUCGUAGAUAUUGGGAAGAACACCGGUGGCGAAGGCGGCGAGCUGGUCCAUUACUGACGCUGAGGCGCGACAGCGUGGGGAGCAAACAGG